rnacentral:rRNA from 1 species
CCUACGGGUGGCAGCAGUGAGGAAUAUUGGUCAAUGGACGAGAGUCUGAACCAGCCAAGUAGCGUGAAGGAUGACUGCCCUAUGGGUUGUAAACUUCUUUUAUAUGGGAAUAAAACGUUCCACGUGUGGGAUUUUGUAUGUACCAUAUGAAUAAGGAUCGGCUAACUCCGUGCCAGCAGCCGCGGUAAUACGGAGGAUCCGAGCGUUAUCCGGAUUUAUUGGGUUUAAAGGGAGAGUAGGUGGAUUGUUAAGUCAGUUGUGAAAGUUUGCGGCUCAACCGUAAAAUUGCAGUUGAAACUGGCAGUCUUGAGUACAGUAGAGGUGGGCGGAAUUCGUGGUGUAGCGGUGAAAUGCUUAGAUAUCACGAAGAACUCCGAUUGCGAAGGCAGUUCACUGGACUGCAACUGACACUGAGGCUCGAAAGUGUGGGUAUCAAACAGGAUUAGAUACCCCUGUAGUC